rnacentral:rRNA from 2 species
UCACACCCGUUCCCAUACCGAACACGGAAGUUAAGCUCUCUAGCGCCGAUGGUAGUUGGGACCUUGUCCCUGUGAGAGUAGGACGUUGCC